rnacentral:rRNA from 1 species
CCUACGGGAGGCAGCAGUGGGGAAUAUUGGACAAUGGGCGCAAGCCUGAUCCAGCCAUGCCGCGUGGGUGAUGAAGGCCCUAGGGUUGUAAAGCCCUUUCGGCGGGGAAGAUAAUGACGGUACCCGCAGAAGAAGCCCCGGCUAACUUCGUGCCAGCAGCCGCGGUAAUACGAAGGGGGCUAGCGUUGCUCGGAAUCACUGGGCGUAAAGCGCACGUAGGCGGCUUUUUAAGUCAGGGGUGAAAUCCUGGAGCUCAACUCCAGAACUGCCCUUGAUACUGAGAGGCUUGAGUCCGGGAGAGGUGAGUGGAACUGCGAGUGUAGAGGUGAAAUUCGUAGAUAUUCGCAAGAACACCAGUGGCGAAGGCGGCUCACUGGCCCGGUACUGACGCGGAGGUGCGAAAGCGUGGGGAGCAAACAGGAUUAGAUACCCUGGUAGUCCACGCCGUAAACGAUGGAUGCUAGCCGUUGUCGGGUUUACCCGUCAGUGGCGCAGCUAACGCAUUAAGCAUCCCGCCUGGGGAGUACGGUCGCAAGAUUAAAACUCAAAGGAAUUGACGG